CCUACGGGAGGCAGCAGUGAGGAAUAUUGGUCAAUGGACGAGAGUCUGAACCAGCCAAGUAGCGUGAAGGAUGACUGCCCUAUGGGUUGUAAACUUCUUUUAUAAAGGAAUAAAACGAGGCACGUGUGCCUUUUUGCAUGUACUUUAUGAAUAAGCAUCGGCUAACUCCGUGCCAGCAGCCGCGGUAAUACGGAGGAUCCGAGCGUUAUCCGGAUUUAUUGGGUUUAAAGGGAGCGUAGAUGGGUUGUUAAGUCAGUAGUGAAAUUUUGCGGCUCAACCGUAAAAUUGCAAUUGAUACUGGCAGUCUUGAGUACAGUUGAGGUAGGCGGAAUGCGUGGUGUAGCGGUGAAAUGCUUAGAUAUCACGAAGAACCCCGAUUGCGAAGGCAGCUUACUAAACUGUGACUGACAUUGAUGCUCGAAAGUGUGGGUAUCAAACAGGAUUAGAUACCCGUGUAGUC
rnacentral:rRNA from 1 species